rnacentral:misc_RNA from 1 species
GAUUGCAGGAAGUUGGAUCCUAAUGGAAUAGUGGUGCAUCACCAGGGGGAUAUUGGUGAAUAUUUGAGAAUGGAGGAUGAACUUUGAUAGAAUUGAGGUUCUUUCUGGGGUUUUAGGAAGGUUUUUGGGAUAUGGGUCGGUGUUGAUGGUAUAGACAUGCUAGUUACUGUAAGUAUGUCUUAUCUAAUUUUGAGUAAUAUGAGGUUGUUGUUAUGGUUUUCUGAAAAUUUAAUGAACUUGGGUUUUCUUGUAUUUGUUCUUCAAUUGUGUGUUUAUGUUAAUUUCACCAACGGGCAUGAAGUUUUUUGCUCAAAAAAAAAAAAAAAAAAAA